rnacentral:ncRNA from 1 species
AUUAUAAGAGUUAGUUCUAAAAAUUUCGCUUCCUCUCUUAAAAAAUUUGAUUUUGGUUUUAAAAAAUUUUCUAGAAAUAUUAGUUGUAGGGAAAGGUGUCGAUUACACUUUUUAAAAUUUUACAAUCUUUAAAAGAAUAAAGAUAACAGAAAAUAAGCAAAAAAUAUGCCAGCAGCUGCGGUUAUAUGUUUUAUGUUUUUUUAGUAGAGAAGUAGUAAAGAAAGGCUUAUGUGGGUUUUAAAAGUAAAAUUUUUAGUUAUUUUAUUAGCUUUUUUUCUGUAUUUACCAUUAUUUUAGUUUAAACCAAGAUUAGAUACCUUGCUAUUAUCAUUUAAAACUUAGAGGAGUAAAUUUUAAACAAACUUAAAAAAUUUGGCGGUUACAUGUGUUUUAGAGGAGGUUGUCUUUUAAUUAGAAAGUACACUAGAAACUUAGUUUUUUUUUGUUUUUAUAUGGUCAUUGUUUCUUGUAUAAAAUUAAAAAAAAAGAUAAGAUUUAAAAUCACGAUUUAGAUCAAUAUAAAGCCAUAUAAAUCAAAAGCAUUACCUACAAUUUUUAUAAGUUAUUUUUGGGAAAUUGGAAGUGGAUUUGAGAGUAGUCUAAAACAACGGAAGUUUAAACGAAAAUUUCACAUGUUAUGCACAUAUCGCCCGUCAUUCUUAUCGAAAAGAUAAGAAAAGUCGUAACACAGUGAGGCCACUGGAAAGUGGCCUUGAU